rnacentral:misc_RNA from 1 species
GAGUGAGCUGGUGUAGCAGUCUGAUCAUCAUUCCCAACUCCUAUUACUUGGAGGGUUGGGAUUUUGUGAUUAAGGGGAGAAUCCAGUAUUUCAUCUUUUCAGAUUAAGGCCAAGUUCUUAUCUUAAAUUUAAUGUGGUCUCUAACCAAUAAUUUGAUAUAAUCAAGUACCUGAAUAAUAAAAUUUGCAUCAAUUGUCAAGUCUUACCUUUCUAUCAUCUGAGUUACUUUUCAGUGUUUAGUUGGAGUUGAGAUGGAACUAUUUAGUUCACAUAUACAAUGAAUUGCCUAAACUAAGGAGAAAAAAAGAAGCUAAAUUGUCUUCUUUCCUGCCACUGAGGAAUCACUAAAAAAAAAAGAUUAGUUUAGGUGGCUGGAAUGUAUAAAUUGUCAUAAUCUUUAUUGUUCAAGUGCUUGAUUUAAUGGAAUAAUUGUUCAGGGGUCACAUUGCAAAAUUGUAUAAAUUUCAAGGUAAAAUUUUGGACUUAUGCUUACAGAUUGGGGAUUGCACAAUAUCCCAGUAUUUUCAUAUAAGCUACAGGGAAGAGAUCACCCUGCUUGGGCAUUGUUGUAUGACAGUAACUGCAGAUAGAAACCAAGCUUAGUGCAUUUUGCUGCCACAAAGUUUGAGAGAUGGCCUUUAGGUUGUGUUUUCUUAAUAAAAUAUGGAUGGGAAUUCUUCAUUCUUGUGUUUGGUUUGCCGUGUCUUGAAUUCCUUGUAAGUUCAUGCCUUGCGAAUCAAAAUGAUAAAUAUAAUAUUUAGCAAUAUUUUUUUUU